CUGAGAGGGAUAUCCGGAAUGAAAUGGUUCUCCAUGAGAGCCACAAGCGAACAUUCAACAACUUGAAAACUGGAUUGAAAAUGAGAGACAGAGCAGCCACUGCAGAAGCUUCCAAAAUCACUCUGCACUUUCUUGAACUGCUGCAAUCCACGUGGUGAUGUAGCUCCCAUGUUGCAAAUUGGAUGCUGUUCAGUUUCUGUCAACGUUCUGAGUCCUCGAAUUUCAACAGGACUGCCACUUCCAUACUAUCUUCAGAGCUUCUCUACCCCACCGUCAGCUCACAGCUGGGUCAGUGUCUUGUUGUUAUUGCAGCAAGUCCGUGAGGGUCUCCAAAAACGAACUUGACAUUUGGCGCAAGAGCAGGGUUCCAACAUGUACAGCAGUCUCACCUGGAGGGCUGAAUAAGUGAUCGUUCGAGUGUCAGUGGAGUGAGACAGAUGGGCCCGCAAGGUACGAUUCACCUUGGUCUCUCUUACUAACCUGCCAUCUGUGCGACCCCCUCAUCCCUGCGUGUCUCUGUACUGACGGAACCCGGGAUAACUCACGGCCUUGAACACUGCUAAAUCCUGAUGCCUGGAGGUUCGAGUCCCCUGGUGGCCGGGGUUGGAGUCCCCAGGUCAGAUAACGGGUAAUUUUAUAAAUCCAGGAGGAUAGAUUUCACCCGGUGACCGGGGGGUGAAAUCCUGUGUCGGGCAAUAGG